rnacentral:tRNA from 1 species
UUCUUUGCAGUGCUCACACAGAUUGUCUGAUAGGAAGUGAAAAGCAAGGCGUCUUGCGAAGCAGACUGAUACGUCCCCUUCGUCUAGAGGCCCAGGACACCGCCCUUUCACGGCGGUAACAGGGGUUCGAAUCCCCUAGGGGACGCCACUUGCUGGUUUGUGAGUGAAAGUCACCUGCCUUAAUAUCUCAAAACUCAUCUUCGGGUGAUGUUUGAGAUAUUUGCUCUUUAAAAAUCUGGAUCAAGCUGAAAAUUGAAACACUGAACAACGAAAGUUGUUCGUGAGUCUCUCAAAUUUUCGCAACACGAUGAUGAAUCGAAAGAAACAUCUUCGGGUUGUGA